ensembl:lncRNA
GUAAGCAAAUGUGAUUAAGCUCAUAUAUUUGUGUUUAUUUUCAUUCUUCCUUUCUAAUUUUCCCACCUUUACAGUGAUUUUCUUCGAUACUUUCUCUGAUUUAUUUCUCUGGGUAUCUGAUUUAUUUCUCUGGUCAUGGAAAGCAAUCUGGCAGUGAACAAUAAAUAUAUGUUGCAUUGAAAAGUAGCUAAUACUAUAUGCCAGCCAGAGAGAUAGUCUACAGCAUGGCUUGUCCCACUUGGUUUGGCCCAGGGACAUGUGACUCAAUCAGGCAGUGCAUUAUCAUUUCCACCUCAGGGAAAGGUUCGUUAUCAACCUGAGUCAGCUGCAGUCAGCCUUGACAGGAGUGGGACAGAUCCCUAAUCAAUAUUUUAAUCACACACCUGGGGUGGUUUAAAUGAAGUCAAUUAAAGGAUCUUUCAUCAGCAGAAAAAGCUGUGCUCAGCUAGCUGUAGAAACAUAUCUAAGAUCCCUGUGAAGAGGCAGAAACAGAUGUGGAUGACUUUGAAAACUGGCAAAGGGACAGUGAAUUGGACUCUGCAACAGGAAUGGGAUGCAGAACAGUGCAACAGAGUGUCCUGCAGCAAAACGAGACGGACCUUCAUGCAGUGUCAGCUCCAGCACUGGCAUGCUAUAAAUACAAUAAAGUCACUAGGAGCUGUCCUGGGGACUGCCCAACCUGCCAGGUGUUGGCACAGCUCGUGGCAGAAGUGGCAGCAGAGGUGCACCUGUGCCCAUCAUCUCAGCCCUGUGCUCCCCUCCAAGGUGAGGACUGUUUGCAUUCAGAGAAGCAAUAUUCAACAUUUGUUGUUUCAAUACCUGAAGUUGUGACCACUGAAAACUUGGAGGAGCUGCUUCAUUGAGCACGGAGCUCGUGACGAGAGGCCUGAAAGCAGGAAUUCAGAGCUCCUACUAACAAAUGGAAAAGAAACUUUGGAGUGUGGACCUAAGUAAUAGAAUCAUCAAAUCAUUUAGUUUGGAAAAGACCACUGAGAUCAUCUAGUCCAACCAUCAACCCAUCCCCACCAUGGCCACUAACCAUGUCCCUCAGUGCUACAUCUACACAUUCCUUGAACACCUCCAGGAAGUGACUUCACCACCUCCCUGGGCAGCCUGUGCCAAUGCAUCACCACUCCUGAGAAGAAAAUUUUCAUAAUAUCCAACCUGAACCUCCCCUGGCACAAUGCUGCGCAGCCCCAGCUUUCCCAGCCUGUCCUUGCAGGGGAGGUUUUCCACCCCUGGGAUCAUUUUUGUGCCCCUCCUCUGGACGCUCUCCAACAGGUCCACAUCUCUCCUGUACUGAGGACUCCACAUCUGGACACAGUACUGCAGGGAUGUGAAAAAACAUCUGUCUGGGAUUUUAUGACUUCUGUUUCCAACUGAAAUUGGAAAAUGCAAGGACACACAAGAGGAGAAGAAGAUUUCAGCCUUCUGAACCUGUAGCUUUCUGAUUUUCCAUCUCAGCAUGCUCUGCUGCAGAAAUAAACAAAUGAACACAAUGCUCUGGUGUGGCCCAAUCCUGGCUCUGCUUUAGCUGCCUCUGGGAAGUCUGCACGCUAUUUCAGUGCUCGGGGCUUGUAACCACACACCCCCUGGCAGUUCUCCAGGCAUGAUUAACUGCUGCAUUUACUCAUCUCUGUGGAUGAAAGAAGCCUACCCAUACAAACUGCAGACCACUACGAAGUGCUAUUUAGCUAUUAGAGGGUUUCCUGAGUCAAAAUGUACAGCAGCAGUUUUAACUUUUUAUCACAGGAUCUUCUACUUUGUUGAAAACUGAGCAACCAUACCAGCUGAGACCGGAGUCCCACCUCACUCCAUAUACUGUCUCAAACCUCUGGAAAUCACUAUGGAGAAAUUUCAAGGAGAACUGCGUGCUGCAGGCAGGUGAGUGCUGCCAGGAUGAGAAAGUUUCUUGCAGUAUUCUUUUCCUCUUAAAUGCAGAAACUUCUGAAGGACGUUUUUUUCUGCAGAGCUCCCUGCUCAGAGAUCGGAAUUAAAUCCAGGAAAUAUAAAUAAAUAAAGCCAAAAGAUCAUCCCCACCAGAAAGAAAUGAAAACAAAGGCGUUCUAUAGCCACGGAAAAUGCAAAAGACUGAAAUAAUUCCUCACUGCUGUGGAUGCCAG